UCAUAUUUUCUAUUUUGAGACUAUCACCACAAAACUUUUUGGUUUUACACUUUACCCACAAAAAAUGUUAUGUUCUCUUACUUUUAGACCUAAAAGAGAGGGUCUGGGAGAAGCAUACAGGCCACCACGCCCAACGGUGGCGUACUGUGCGUCGGGCUUAGCUACGGUUCUCGCUUCUAGGUUUUGGCGACCUCCAUCUGUCGGUCACUACCACCGUUAUACAGCAGCACACAGUCACUCACCCGCUUAUGCCACCGAUAACCACCGCCAGGCCUCGAAUCCAGUUCCGGCGACAAACGAAAUCGAAAGUGGCAACUGAGUUAUUCCCUUUCUUCCCUUUAUCGCCGGAGGUUUUGACUUCGUCCCUCACAUCGGUUACCUGCAAAACCCUAGCCUUGCUCAACACCAUCUAUAGCCCUAAUCGAACGCUAGGGCGUCCGAAUCGUCCUCAAUCGAAGAUCCAGUAAAAAAUAACAACACCAGGAAGAACAAUGUUUCGAACUCAAAAACCCGGUUAUUCGCAAUGAGUCAGAUUUGGUUACAGUCAUGGUGCCGGAGUCACCAGCGUGAUCGGCGGUGACGGAUCGUGGUGGUGACGAUUGUUUGGAUUGGUCGCCGUCUAACAUCGUGGUGGAGGUGAGUUCCUUUGAAGAUUUGGAGACAGAGGGCCAAGGUGAUGCGUGUAAAAAGCCUUUGUGGAAUAGGUUUUCUAAUGGAGUCGUGGAUGCGGUUAGUCCGGUUAUGGGUGCAGCUUGGCUUGCGCUCAGUGAGUCAACUAAACCGACGCUUAAGCUGUCUUCAUCGGAGUCAUUAAAAGCGCUUUCUGAUACUAGCUCAAUAAUUUUAUCACAAGUUAAAAAGAUUGCGGUUUUGCAUCUGGGUAUGCUAAAAAGACUAAUGAAAUCAGCAAAAUCUAAUCGUAAGAGACUUAAACCUGGAUUCCUAGACCUGACCAAAGGAUCGCCAGAUAAUUCAAUAUCAUACAAAAGAGUUAAGACAAAUUGUUCCAAACAGUGCCAAGCAUCGAUGCUUUGCCGGAACGCAACAUCAAGCACAUGCUUUUCUUUGUUGACAUGCAUGGGUUGUGUAGCCAUACAGGUUAGAUCGUUGCUUGGGUUUUUGGUCAGCUUGCAUGUGACCUUUCCCGGGUCAGCUCUUGGAUUUUCGUUCAGCUUAUAGGUAACAUUUGCUUCGUAACAGGUCAAUCUGCAUAUGGUUGUGUCAAAUUGUUCUUACGUAUGAUUUCUUUAGCAAACUAGUAAAUGAUGAAACAAAGAAGACAAACCUCAUGAGUCUUUAUUUCAAGGCACUACAAAAAAAAUCUAUUGAAAUUGAUUCGAAACUUGCUGUAAUGUUGAUUGCUAAUUGUAGUGAAUUAUAUUUCAAAUAUUUAUAUAUAUAUAUUGACUAUAGGUGGACAACGGGUUGGACAUCAUAAUAAAAGCCAAAUACCCCGCCGCGUGCCUACGCGUCAACACUGUCAACGCGGUGUUCAUACUUCACCGGUGCGUUGCAUACUUUGUCUGCCGCAACGCGGCGGGAUACACCCUAGUUGCCUUAAAAACAAAAAGGUUUUUGCAUGACCCUUACGACAGUCAUCAGGGACCCGGCGGCAAUUGAGGGAGACCCAGAGACAGAAAAAGAGAGCGAGAGAAAGAAAAAGAAGAGAGAGACGGGAAGUUGAUUCUCGGCAAGUUGAGUAUUGUUGCAAAUAAAGCUCUACUCUCAUUCUCAAUUCAGCAAGGCGAUUAAGAUCUAUGGUACUUGUUCAGAAUCUUACCCCUUUCUCUCUUUUCGUUUUUUUUAACUCUUUUCGUUUUUGUAGACCUCAUAUCACCAGAUCCGGUAUCUUGUAUAUUUGUAGAACUCAUAUUACCCCUGUAUGUAUCUUGUAUUUUUGUGGAUCCAGGGUUUCUUCAUAUCUUUCAGAUCUGUAAAGUUAUGAUUUUUUGAGAUCUGGUAACUUCAUAUGAUUUUUUUAGAAAGUGAGGAGAAAGUUGUGGUUGUCAAAGGCAAACCUGACGAUGGCUUGCUACCAGGUAUCGCAACUCCGGUUGCAGCCGUAGCGCUACUGAGCGGGCUCAUCGAAGAUGAUGAUCUUUUCUAGAUCGGAGUCGAUUUAUGUUGGUAAUUUUUGUUUUGUUUUCUGAGAUUAAUUAAACGAUUGUGUUAUUGGUGUUGACCAUGUUGUUUCUCGCUGUUGUUACGGCUGUGAUGCUGGUGGUUGUGCUGUUGACAGUAGUAAUGAAAGGACAACCUUUUUUUGUGUUCGUGGUGAAAAGUACAGACUGUAUGUUUGUCGAUUUAUUUGCGAUUUGAAGCGUUAUCCGGCGAUAAUGGUGGCUUGCUACUUGGCGUGUCAACUCUGUUUGCAGCUGUAGUGGCACUGAGCCGUGAUCUUGAUGAAGGAUAUCGUAACACUUGAAAUGUUGAUUUGGUAACUCCGGUUGCAACCGUAGCGCUACUGAGCGGGUUCAACGACGAUGAUGAUCUUUUCUUGAUCUGAGUCGAUUUUUGUUGGUAAUUUUGUUUUGAUUUCUGAGAUUGAUUAAACGAUUGUGUUAUUGGUGUUGGCCAUGUUGUUUCUCGCUGUUGUUUCGGCUCUGGUGCUAGUGGUUGUGCUGUUGACAGUAGUAAUGAAAGGACAACCUUUUUUGUGUUCGUGGCGAAAAGUACAGACUGUAUGUUUGUCGACUUAUUUGGGAUUUGAAGCAUUAUCCGACGAUGAUGGUGGCUUACUACUUGGCGUGGCAAAUGUGUUGUAACCGUAGCGGCACUGAGCCAUGAUCUUGAUGAAGGAUAUCAUAACACUUGAAUUGCUGGUAUGGUAACUCCGGUUGCAAACGUAGCGCUACUGAGCGGGUUCAACGACGAUGAUGAUCUUUUCUUGAUCUGAGUCGAUUUAUGUUGGUAAUUUUGUUUUGAUUUCUGAGAUUGAUUAAACGAUUGUGUUAGUGGUGUUGGCCAUGUUGUUUCUCGCUGUUGUUUCGGCUGUGAUACUGGUGGUUUUGCUGUUGACAGUAGUAAUGAAAAGACAGGCUUUUUUGUGUUCGUGGUGAAAAGUAUAGACUGUAUGUUUGUCAAUUUAUUUGGGAUUUGAAGCAUUAUCUGGCGAUCAUGGUGGCUUGCUACUUGGCGUGGCAACUCUGUUUGCAGCCGUAGCGGCAUUUCUUAUCACGUUUGGCUAUUGACGAUGUAUCAUAUCUCAUCGUAGCAGAUGUUUUUCACAGAGAUUUGAAGCCGAAAAAUAUAUUGGAAGAUGCUGACUGCAAACUCAAGAUCUGUGACUUUGGUCUUGCAAGAGUCACGUUCAACGAUACACCCAAUGCAAUAUUCUGGACAGUGUGUCGCUAACUUCUCUAAUAUACAGUUUAUCGUUGAAGCUAGGACCCCUUUUAUUAGCUUUAUUUUUUGGGAUUAUUGCAUGUGAUUUGAGGUGCACAAACCGGCGUAAACAAAAUUUGACAAUUUGUAAUGACAGUUGGUUAAUAACCGGUUAUUUUCAAAAAAUUUUCAGUGUUUUUUUCGGUUAACCAGUACAUCGGUUAAAAAUUGGGUAAAAAUAACCACUUAUUUCUAAAAAAAACCCUAACCUGUUACUAACUUGCGGUUUCAAAAAUGACCACUCAUUGGAACCUCAUCGAUAAGUUAUUAACCAUUUACAAUUUUAACCGGUUACUUUGUGCACGUCUACCCGUGAUAUUUGUAAUCUAACCAUUCAUUUUGCUUUAACAAUUGUCAACUACUAAACCUGUCAAAUACUAGCCCUUUUACUG